AGUUUAUUGAGAACAUUUGCCUUGGUCAGACUUUUGAUUAUUUUGGCUCUGAAACCUGGUUUACAUUGAUUUAAUCAUUAGAAUACCCUCUUCUAAGGCUUUCAAAUGAUGCAAUUAAGUGCAAAUACCACAUCUCCUGCACAGCAACAGGGAUCUGAACAGUUAUGACAAAUCCAGUAGGCACAAAUACGUGUAAUUUUUUUUACCAUGUAACAGGGUCUAAUUCUGUAGCAGAGCAUGUAUAAAUUGUUAAAAUAAUACAUCGUUUGCUAUCAUUAUCCAUUGUAAUGUUUGCAUAUCUUUGUGUCAUUCUAGGCAUCUUUACUGAGUUUCCAAGUGAAAAACACAGUGUUUAUUGUUUAGGGACAGUACAUAUCCAGUUUGAAACUCCAGCCAUUUACAAAAAAAAAUCAUAGUGUUCUGAUUUCAUCCGGAAAGCAAAUAGCGGCUGUGGUACAUGUGUAAUACAGACAUGUCAGCAUCUACAAGAAUUACUCACCCAUUCUUAAGACAUCCAUUCAUCCAUAAGGGUGAAGUCUGUCUCAGAGAACUCAUCUCCACAGCAGCGGGUGACAGGCUAUGCUGCUAAUUCCUGUGGGGAGUCCACCUGGGAUGCUGGCACUGGAACAUCUUCACUACCACCCAUUCCCAGGCAGGAUUUCAUCCCUUUAAGAGGACUGGCUGAAUUCCCACCUCUAGUGUUGCAGUCUGCUUGAAAACUCAGACAUUGAUAAAGCCAUUAAGGUAGGUGACAUCUUCAGGCAUUAUUUACCUGUGAGGACUAAGGCUUGUCUUGCUUGUGUGUGAAAGUCAGACUCCUGAUGUCAGUAUGUAGCUUUGGGAGCUGUGAUAAUAGCCAGAGACCUAUAAUGCUUUUGCUUUUAUCUUGUUGCAUUUUAGUACAAACGUCUUACCAAUAUCUAACAUACAAUGUUUCAGUAUAAAUUUAUAAUUAUUUGUAUUCACAGUAAUAUUGUCAAUAGUCAAACUGAAAUCAAAAGACCGAUAACGAUUUGACUUUCCUGUCAUUCUUGCCCAUUUCAAAGAUCAUUCAAAAUAAAUUAAAAAGAAUAAAUUAUUGAAAUAGUAUU
rnacentral:lncRNA from 1 species